GCCUCAUUAGCUCAGAGGCAGAGCGUCUCUUUGGAAACAGAAGGUCGCUAGUUCGAUUCCAGCAUGAGGCA
rnacentral:tRNA from 1 species